rnacentral:misc_RNA from 1 species
AAAUAAGGCUGGAGACUUUUAUUCAGUAGCUGAACCCAGCAACUCAAUUGUAAUAAUACAAAUACAAUACAGCAAUACAUACAUUUUAGUAUUUAUACGCUAAAAAGGCGUCUUAUCGCCAAUAUGGCGAAUAAGUUGUACAGAAGUUCUUUACAUCAUACAGUUUCUACAAUGCCUAUUUAUCUUCUGAAAAGGCAAUAUAAUGUAGUGGUUGGUACCUAUCAUAUACAGUUUUUACCAGACUAUGUAUAGUGUACAUGGUGAAUUUUUCCAAAUACAACAAUAUUAACAGCAAUUAUUACCAGACUGUUCAUACUCUUGCUAUUUUAGCUCCAACAACUUCAAUUUGUGUUGCAGCAAAGCUAGAUACAAUCCGCUGCAGUACAGCUUUUUUACGACAUUCACUGUUUCCAUCUCCAGUCACUCAAUGCUAACCCAAGCAUUUACAAAUAGCAGAAUAUCGGUAACAGGGAAAGAAGGCGAUUGUUUUCAUGACAAUUCCCAAACCUUAUAAUUGUUACCCUCAGCAGCCAUUUUCCAUCUCUGAUGCCCACUUGGAGGCUCGUAGUGGCCUGGUCCUAUUUUGACAGCCAGCUUAUCGUCAAUAACUGCUGCGUAAACAUCCCUUUCGGCUUUUGUGAUAUCCACCAAACUCCGACAGUUAAUCUUGUUCCGCUUUCUGAGUGAUAUAAGAUUUCCUAUUUCAGAUCGGUAACCAGAGAAAAUGUGAUCAAAGAAGACUGAAGGGGUUCCUGGGUGAGUCAGGAUAUAGGCAUAACCUUGCAUCUCUUUCCCACCAGGAAAUCUCCAAUGACCCUGUGUAGAACCUGUAUCAUGAUUCUCUAUAAAUGUAACAGCACGAGAUGGCCACCAU